UACGUAGGGGGCAAGCGUUGUCCGGAAUCAUUGGGCGUAAAGCGCGUGUAGGCGGCUCGAUCAGUCUGGUGUGAAAUCUGAAGGCUCAACCUUCAGCGGUCACUGGAUACUGUCGGGCUUGAGUGCGGAAGAGGAGAGUGGAAUUCCUGGUGUAGCGGUGGAAUGCGCAGAUAUCAGGAGGAACACCUAUAGCGAAGGCAGCUCGCUGGGACGACACUGACGCUGAGACGCGAAAGCGUGGGGAGCGAACAGG
rnacentral:rRNA from 1 species